CCCCCCCACCCCCAGCCCCUCCCAUCUCGACGAGGCCUUCCCUCCCUCUUCCUAACCUGGCCUUCUCUGAGCCUCCAGGCGACCCCUGCCUCCUUUCUCGUCACUCUCUCUUUCCUUUCACAGCCAAGCUUCUCGAAAGGUCUGUCUUCACUCGCUGGCUUCCUUGCUCACCUCCAAUGUCCUCUCCAACCCACUGCUUCUUGACCUCUGCGCCGUCGAGCGGCUCUCGCGAAGGUAAUGACUUUUCUGGAGCUUCACCCCCGACACGUCUCUGGCGCACGGACACAUGGACACACAGACACACGCUCCGCAGACACAUCUGGUCUUCCUCGUACAUGCCUUGUGGCUCUGACUCCCUUCUGUUGACAGACGCCCCCUCUCCCCUCUCUGGAGACGUCUUAGAGUCACCUGCUCCUGGCCUCUGUCCUUCUUAGCCUCUCCCAGGAAUAGCCAGACCUCCCACCUUCUGGAACCUGCCUGGGUUGGAGUCUGAACCACUGAGCGCUGAGGCCUUGGGGUAGGUCACUGUUUUCCAGCCACCUCUUUCUCAGUUGUGGAAGUGAGGUCUUUCCCUAGCAGGCCCGGUGGGCUCUCUUGCAGGGAGGGACCAGGGACUUGAGGUCAAGAAAGGGCUCGUGGGAACAUGCAGUUGGGGUCGCCGUCAGCUUUUUCUCACAGGUUAAGUGCCCUCAGGGAGGACCAGUGAGAGAAGACGGUGGUGGGGGGGGAAGAAAGCAAAAAAGAGAAAGGGAAAAGGAACCAAGGACCAAAAAAAUAAAAGUGGGGAAGGGAGCCUUGGAAAAGAUUAAAAUCCACCCCAAACACAUCCAGGGAAAAUUUUCUUCCUGGGUUAGGGGCGAAGAAUGUACAUGGGAAAAAAGGUUUUAAAUUGAUGAUCCCAGCAACAAAUCCCAGGAGGCUUUCAAGUCAACUCGCCCCAUUUUGUGUUUUUAACUCCUUCUGUCAGGUCUCACCUCUUUACCUUCUGCAUCCCAGUUAAACCUUCCUCGGCCCCCUUGGCUGGUGAUUAAACCCCGAAGGUACACGGGGCCGACAGAAAGGGCCCCGCCCCGCCCCCCAGCUGUGUUUUUCAAUUUUCCUCCACUUCGUGCCCUUCAUGAACACAGGGCUAAUCUUGGGCCCUUGUCGAGGAAGAGGCUGAUGAAGUAGCUGCUGGGUUCCAAUAUUCAACUCCCAAGGCGCCUUCUUUGUCUGAGAAGGAAAAACACACUGGUCACCACAAUAAGGUGAACUGGUGGCCGUGGGGCGGGGGCCACGGGCCUGAGGCCACCCUUGCAAUAUGGGGGCCGGAGCCCAGUGUCCACCUGCUCCCCAUUUGUCCCUGCCUCUGUCCCUGCUCAUGGUCCCAUCCUGCGGGGUUGAAAGCUGAAGGCAGCUCUGGGCCACGGAUAGGGCUGCUUGGUAGAAAGUUCCUUUGUUUGACCCCCCAGUGGGCCGGGGCGAGCCAAGCCCUGGGGGUGCUGUUUCCAGUCCUUGCUCGUCCCCGACGUGUUUCAGGACUGCCUAGCAUGAAACAUUUGAGAUUCUCAGACGAGAGAAAAGUCAGGUCAAGGGUAUAGACCCUGCGGCAUUAUCACGGAGUCAGUGGCCAAAGGCCCCGUCCAGGUCAAGAAGUGAGCGGGCAGUGGUACCCACAGCCCCCCUCCCCCCCAUGGAAGGGCACGAUUCAGGCUGGCAUUUGGCCCCCACACACUGAUGAGACUGAGGUUCAGAGGGCCAGACGUUUGUCAGGAUCAUUCAGAUCCGACACGAGAACCUGUCGCCACUCCUACCCCCCAAACGUCGCCCCCCCCCCCGUAUGUCCUGGGCCCCACCUGAAUCCCCAGUCCCCCCCUUUCUGUCCUGAUCCUUGACCGCCAGCGUCCAUGAAUAGAAACCUGCCUGUGUUUUUUUUAAAUUGUUUUUAUUACAGUUAAUGGACAAUGUCCUGUCAAUUUCUGCGAUGCCGCAGAGUGACCCAGUCAUACGUAGACAAAUACGUCUGUGCAUAUUCUUUCUCUCACAUUCGCCUCCAUCGUGUUCCAUCACAAGCGAGUAGACAGAGUUCCCUGUGCUGCCCAGCAGGGAAACCUGCCCUUAGGAAUCCUGAGUUCUGGGCAUUUUGCCCCCUAAGGUCGCUGAAUCAAGGUUAGAUCACGCCAGUUAAUUUCCAGGCUCCAGCGAGAUCUUCAGCCGAACAGAAAAAAACUAAGGGAGAUGUGAGAUGUUUGGAGCAAGAAACUUUUAUUAGGUGAAAAGCCCUCCCUUCUUGAACUUAGCUGUUGGCAUGCGUGGAUCAGAAUUAGAUGCUCUUUGCAAGUUAGCAAAAGCAACCCUAGUCCCCUCCGCUAAAUGCCAUCAAAGGAUGUCCAGGGGGCCGGUUGGGGUGACCGCCUCUUUUGGCGGCGGUGACCCACGUGUUGCCCAGACCUGGGAACUGGAUGAGGGCGAGCACCUUUGAGAGUAGGGAUCCCACGAAAACCUACCCUCCGUGCAGCUUUUGCAGAGUAAAAUAAUAGAGCAGUUGCUGGUGUUUCUAAAAAGAUUUCACUUUAUUAAUUUGUUUUUAUUACUGUUGAUUCACAAUGUUCUGUCAAGUAAGAGGAUUUAUUUUAAAUAGGAAAAAAAAAUCCAUAGGACCGUCAACUACAUACCAAUAAGGAAAACCAAGUCCUGAAUAUUCUGGCAUUUGAGAAGCUGGGGAGGGGUGCAGGCAGUUGUGUGCUGAGCCCCCCAGCAGAGGGGUCUGUGUGAAUUGCUCAGCCUCGGGUGUGGAGGGGCCGGUUUUAACCUGUGUCCUUGUUUCUGUGGCACACGGGACCCCUGGGCCCCACUCUCCAAGCCCAGAGGUCCUGCCAGGCUUCCUGCCUUGGUCUUCCGACUCCCAGGGCCCACGGGUUCCAGAAUCCAUCAUGAAAUCAGUCCUGGAGGCUCAGGAGUGAGGCCAGGAGACACCCCCCCUUUCUUCUGAUUUUCCGUUUUGUUUUUUGUUUUUUUCUGCUGUUACUGCUCUCCCUCUGUUCUCCACCCUGGCUUCUCUCCCUUACUCUAUCACCAUGUCCUAGUCUGGUCCCCUGGGGGUGCCCGAGUCCAGCCCACUCCUCCUUGGGGUGUCCCAGCACCAGCCUGGCACCAAGUGGGGUUCAGUAAGAGUAUGUGGGAUGUCUGCUUGGACAGGUGAGUCAAUGAAGGAACUCGACUGCCCGACUCAGCUGCUAGACGGGAGUUGUGGGGACGGCAGGGAGUUGCAGGUCCGGGGGGAGGGUGGAUGUACUUUCCCUGAGAGGAGUGGGCGCCGCCCACCCCCAGCCCCGUUUGAGUGGGGCCUCACCAGUGUCACCCCUUCAUUCACUCACGCGUCCACCCCGUCAUUCAACAGUUGAUCCUUACUGAGCAAGCCCACCGCCUGGCCCCGGGCUGGGCACCUGCCACGCUAGGGCGUCCCUUGAUGGCCUCUACCUCCCCAGGAGGGCGGGCCGGGGGGCUGCUUCUGCUGAGGGUGGCCUUGCGACUCCAGGGCGCUGGAGCAGCAGCUCCUGCUCCGGAGAGAAGGCAGCGGGAGGAGGGUGCGAGGGGUGGGCUGGUUUGCCUCCGGCCAGUGGGCCUCCUUUUCAGUCAACUCCCCCCUGCUCCAGGGGGAGCCUUGAACCUGCCCUUCUCUAGGGCUCUGCUGCCGGCCCGAGCCAGCCCCUCCUGCCCGCUUGGCCUCCCCCUGCCCCCCAAGACCCACCCCAUGGCUGAGUGCUGAUGACUCUUCUGGACCCUCAGCCCUGAAGUUCAGGACUGAGGUGGGGGCACAGGGACAGCUGUGGUUCAUGCGUGUCCCCUCGGGCUCUGGUCCCACAGGUCUCCUUCUGGAGUUGGGGUCUGUGAGCUGGACCCCUCCCUCCGUGACGCCUUCCUCCCUCCUCUGCGCCCCCAGUCGUUGGCUGGGGCCUGUCCAGGGCAAAGGGCAGAUGACUGGGGGACCUCCAGGGAGCGUUGCAGGCUCUGCCAAGGCCUGGCUGCCCACCUGUUCUCUACCUGGCGGUUCCUUCCCUGCCUCCCUCCCCCCAGCCAGGGUGCCUGCCCACCUGGAGCUCUGCUUGCCCGGCCCGCCCCUCUGUGCCCCCUGUCACUGGGCUCAGGAUCUUCUGGGUCCUGGCUGUGCCGCCCUCUGCCUAACAGGUUGUUUUUCCCGCUGCCUCGCCCACCUCCCACCUGCGUGCCUUUUGCCCUCCCCGUCCCCCGGUGCAAGGAAGCCCUCCCCGCUCAGGGCCGCCCAAGUUUCCAGCGGGUCUCCGGUGCCCCGGGAUAAGCCCGAGCUGGCCCGCCACCUCCCCCGGUCAUCCUCAGAUGCCUCUUCUCCCGGCCGUGGCCCCUCAGGGUCUUAGUGACGGUGGGCUACAACCAGAUUUUUGUCCUGCUCCCCUCCCCACACCCCCUAGACCCCUCGUCAUCGGGUCCUGCUGGGCCUGCCCAGAUGGCUGCCCUGUCCCCCUGAGUCCCAGGCCCUGCCCCACCCCAGGCCCCGUGGCCAGUCUGGGGGCUGCCACCCGGCCUGUCGCCUCUCUUCUUGCACCUCUUCCCAUCACGGCAUCCCCACGAGCCACCUCCCUCCACAGAAAUCCAAGCCGCAGGUCGGCCUGUCCUCGACACACUGGCAGCGAGCGUCGGCUGAAGAACCGGAUGGAAGAGGCGGGAGAGUCACCACGGACUGGCGUUCCUUCAGGUCGGUCGCCUGGCGUCUUCGGGCUGCGACUCCUUCCCGGAUCGGGCUGAAGCCAUCAUCUGUGUCCUCCGUCGGAAGGGACCUCAGACAUGUGGCUCCUGCACCCUCCAGCUCUGAAAUCCCUCUGCAGCCACGGGGACACCUGCACACGUUCCCAAAGACUCUGGACCUGGGCGGCCCCCUGCGAGGAGGGGCGUGUCCUCCCCGCCACCCCUGGGUGGCCGCCCGCCCUCUGACUGGUGGACUUCGCUGAUCUGAGUGUCAGACCCACGGGCUUGACCCCUACCCAACCCCUCCUGAACCCUGAGACGUGGGAGCGCCGCGCCUCGCCGUCCGCAUCUGUGAAAUGGGCGCAGACCCCUACCUCACAGGGCUGUUGUGAGGCGCGUGUGACGCGGUUUGGAAGUGCCCCACCUGGGGGCUUGGCACAGCCAUUGUGCUCUCAAUAAAUGUGUUUCUUGCCU
rnacentral:lncRNA from 1 species